rnacentral:rRNA from 1 species
UACGAAGGGUGCUAACGUUAUUCGGAAUUAUUGGGCGUACAGGGUGCGCAGGCGGUGCACUAAGUCAACUGUUAAAUCCCCCAGCCUAACUGGGGUUCAGCGGUAGAUACUGGUGUGCUAGAGGGUGGAAGAGAGAAGUGGAAUUCUUGGAGUAGCGGUAAAAUGCGUAGAUCUCAAGAGGAACACCGAUGGCGAAGGCAGCUUCUUGGUCCACAUCUGACGCUCAUGCACGAAAGCGUGGGGAGCAAACAGG